rnacentral:rRNA from 1 species
AGUGAAAUGUGAUAAGUAAUGUGAAUUGCAGAAUUCAGUGAAUCAUUGAAUCUUUGAACGCAUCUUGCACCUUUUGGUAUUCCAAAAGGUACACCUGUUUGAGUGUCAU